rnacentral:rRNA from 1 species
GGGCGUAGAGGGCUCGCAGGCGGUUUCUUAAGUCUGAUGUGAAAGCCCCCGGCUCAACCGGGGAGGGUCAUUGGAAACUGGGGAACUUGAGUGCAGAAGAGGAGAGUGGAAUUCCACGUGUAGCGGUGAAAUGCGUAGAGAUGUGGAGGAACACCAGUGGCGAAGGCGACUCUCUGGUCUGUAACUGACGCUGAGGAGCGAAAGCGUGGGGAGCGAACAGGAUUAGAUACCCUGGUAGUCCACGCCGUAAACGAUGAGUGCUAAGUGUUAGGGGGUUUCCGCCCCUUAGUGCUGCAGCUAACGCAUUAAGCACUCCGCCUGGGGAGUACGGUCGCAAGACUGAAACUCAAAGGAAUUGACGGGGGCCCGCACAAGCGGUGGAGCAUGUGGUUUAAUUCGAAGCAACGCGAAGAACCUUACCAGGUCUUGACAUCCUCUGACAAUCCUAGAGAUAGGACGUCCCCUUCGGGGGCAGAGUGACAGGUGGUGCAUGGUUGUCGUCAGCUCGUGUCGUGAGAUGUUGGGUUAAGUCCCGCAACGAGCGCAACCCUUGAUCUUAGUUGCCAGCAUUCAGUUGGGCACUCUAAGGUGACUGCCGGUGACAAACCGGAGGAAGGUGGGGAUGACGUCAAAUCAUCAUGCCCCUUAUGACCUGGGCUACACACGUGCUACAAUGGACAGAACAAAGGGCAGCGAAACCGCGAGGUUAAGCCAAUCCCACAAAUCUGUUCUCAGUUCGGAUCGCAGUCUGCAACUCGACUGCGUGAAGCUGGAAUCGCUAGUAAUCGCGGAUCAGCAUG